rnacentral:snRNA from 1 species
UGAUGUGAAGGUGGUCUGACUUCAACGUAUGAUGCAUUGUUGAUGGCCAAAGUUGAUUCAGCUGAUCUGGCUGGUUAGAUGGGUAUCCCCUUCCUCCCUCAUGGAAGCUGCACAUGUGCUCAGUGGAAGAGGGCGACCUUCCCUGAAGGAACAUUGUUCGAUCAAGGAUAUACACAUAGCCAUGCACCCCUGCUAGAACCUCCAAACAAGCCCUCAAGACAAAGCUCUUAACCACGCUGCCGAGCUUCUUGUGCUGUCUUUAUAUCCUACCUGGUA